AUUGAACGCUGGCGGCGUGCUUAACACAUGCAAGUCGUGCGGUAACAGGCGUAGCAAUACGUGCUGACGAGCGGCGAACGGGUGCGUAAUACAUGGGAAUCUGCCCUUUAGUGGGGAAUAACCCGGCGAAAGCCGGGCUAAUGCCGCAUAAGAUCUUCGGAUGAAAGCGGGGGAUCGUAAGACCUCGCGCUGAUGGAUGAGCCCAUGUCGGAUUAGCUAGUUGGCGAGGUAACGGCUCACCAAGGCGACGAUCCGUAGCUGGUCUGAGAGGACGGCCAGCCACACUGGGACUGAGACACGGCCCAGACUCCUACGGGAGGCAGCAGUGGGAAUAUUGGACAAUGGGCGAAAGCCUGAUCCAGCGACGCCGCGUGUGUGAAGAAGGCCU
rnacentral:rRNA from 1 species